UACGAAGGGGGCUAGCGUUGCUCGGAAUUACUGGGCGUAAAGGGCGCGUAGGCGGCGCAGUUAGUCAGGCGUGAAAUUCCUGGGCUCAACCUGGGGACUGCGCUUGAUACGGCUGUGCUAGAGGAUGGAAGAGGCUCGCGGAAUUCCCAGUGUAGAGGUGAAAAUUCGUAGAUAUUGGGAAGAACACCGGUGGCGAAGGCGGCGAGCUGGUCCAUUACUGACGCUGAGGCGCGACAGCGGUGGGGGAGCAAACAGG
rnacentral:rRNA from 1 species